rnacentral:tRNA from 1 species
UCACUGGUGGUCUAGUGGAUAAGAAUUCGGCUUGCAGUGCUGGACUCUUGGGUUCAAUCCCCAGCUGGGGAA